rnacentral:rRNA from 1 species
UACGUAGGGUGCAAGCGUUAAUCGGAAUUACUGGGCGUAAAGCGUGCGCAGGCGGUUAUGGAAGACAGAUGUGAAAUGCCCGGGCUUAACCUGGGAACUGCAUUUAUGACUGCAUGGCUAGAGUUUGGCAGAGGGGGGUAGAAUUCCACGUGUAGCAGUGAAAUGCGUAGAUAUGUGGAGGAACACCGAUGGCGAAGGCAGCCCCCUGGGUCAAGACUGACGCUCAUGCACGAAAGCGUGGGGAGCAAACAGG